UUCGCACGAGAAAGGGGUCGCAAGACCCCCGGUACAGUGGCGAACGGGUGAGUAACACGUGGGUAACCUGCCCCUGGAUUCGGAAUAACCUGCCGAAAGGCGGGCUAAUACCGGAUGACAUCGCGUGAUCUUCGGACCAUGCGAUCAAAGCUGACCUCUUCAUGAAAGUUGGCGUCUGGGGAGGGGCCCGCGGCCCAUUAGCUAGUUGGUGAGGUAACGGCUCACCAAGGCUCCGAUGGGUAGCCGGCCUGAGAGGGCGACCGGCCACAGUGGAACUGAGACACGGUCCACACUUCUACGGGAGGCAGCAGUGAGGAAUCUUGCGCAAUGGGGGAAACCCUGACGCAGCGACGCCGCGUGGACGAUGAAGGCCUUCGGGUCGUAAAGUCCUGUCGGGUGGGAAGAAAAGGCCUGUGGCUAAUAUCCACAGGUCUCGACUGUACCACCAGAGGAAGCCCCGGCUAACUCCGUGCCAGCAGCCGCGGUAAUACGGAGGGGGCCAGCGUUGCUCGGAAUUAUUGGGCGUAAAGGGCGCGUAGGCGGCUUGGUAAGUUUGAUGUGAAAUCCCAUGGCUCAACCAUGGAACUGCAUCUCAUACUGCCGAGCUAGAGUCUGGGAGAGGAAGCGGAAUUCCCGGUGUAGCGGUGAAAUGCGUAAAUUUCGGGGAGGAACACCAGUGGCGAAGGCGGCUUCCUGGACCAGCACUGACGCUGAUGCGCGAAAGCUAGGGGGAGCAAACAGG
rnacentral:rRNA from 1 species